rnacentral:rRNA from 1 species
AUUGAACGCUGGCGGCAGGCCUAACACAUGCAAGUCGAGCGAGCGGCGGACGGGUGAGUAAUGUCUGGGAAAAUGCCUGAUGGAGGGGGAUAACUAUUGGAAACGUUAGCUAUUACCCCAUACCAUACGAGAUGCCCAGAUGGGAUUUGCUCGUAGGUGGGGUAACGGCUCACCAAGGCGACGAUCCCUAGCGGGUCUGGGAGGAUGACCAGCCACACUGGAACUGAGACACGGUCCAGACUCCUACGGGAGGCAGCAGUGGGGAAUAUUGCACAAUGGGCGCAAGCCUGAUGCAGCCAUGCCGCGUGUGUGAAGAAGGCCUUCGGGUUGUAAAGCACUUUCAGCGGGGAGGCGUUACCCGCAGAAGAAGCACCGGCUAACUCCGUGCCAGCAGCCGCGGUAAUAC